rnacentral:ncRNA from 2 species
CAAAACCCCGCAGAAGAGACCUGCCCCCCGCGGCAGGCGCCGACGGAGCAACCGCCCCGGAAACUCUCAGGCAAACAGGACUGCGCGGUCUAG